rnacentral:rRNA from 1 species
UUAGAGUUCUCGAUCAUGGCUCAGAUUGAACGCUGGCGGCAGGCCUAACACAUGCAAGUCGAGCGGUAACACAGGGAGCUUGCUCCCGGGUGACGAGCGGCGGACGGGUGAGUAAUGUCUGGGAAACUGCCUGAUGGAGGGGGAUAACUACUGGAAACGGUAGCUAAUACCGCAUAACGUCGCAAGACCAAAGAGGGGGACCUUCGGGCCUCUUGCCAUCAGAUGUGCCCAGAUGGGAUUAGCUAGUAGGUGGGGUAACGGCUCACCUAGGCAACGAUCCCUAGCUGGUCUGAGAGGAUGACCAGCCACACUGGAACUGAGACACGGUCCAGACUCCUACGGGAGGCAGCAGUGGGGAAUAUUGCACAAUGGGCGCAAGCCUGAUGCAGCCAUGCCGCGUGUAUGAAGAAGGCCUUCGGGUUGUAAAGUACUUUCAGCGGGGAGGAAGUGUUGUGGUUAUACCACCGCAAUUGCGUUACCCCAAAAAAGCACCGGUAACUCCGUGCCGCAGCCGCGUAUACGGAGGUGCAGCGUUAUCCGAAUUACUGGCGUAGGCCACGCACCGGCCGGCGGGGCGGUCUGUCAGUCGGAUGUGAAUCUCCCGGGCUCAACCUGGGAACUGCAUUCGAAACUGGCAGGCUAGAGUCUUGUAGAGGGUGGUAGAAUUCCAGGUGUAGCGGUGAAAUGCGUAGAGAUCUGGAGGAAUACCGGUGGCGAAGGCGGCCCCCUGGACAAAGACUGACGCUCAGGUGCGAAAGCGUGGGGAGCAAACAGGAUUAGAUACCCUGGUAGUCCACGCCGUAAACGAUGAUUACUAGGUGUGGGGGGACUGACCCCUUCCGUGCCGCAGUUAACGCAAUAAGUAAUCCACCUGGGGGAGUACGACCGCAAGGUUGAAACUCAAAGGAAUUGACGGGGGCCCGCACAAGCAGUGGAUUAUGUGGUUAAUUUCGAAACAACGCGAAAAACCUUACCGGACUUGACAUAACAGUGACCGGCUAAAGAUUACCUUCUCUUCGGAGCACUGCUACAGGUGUGCAUGGUGUCGUCAGCUCGUGUCGUGAGAUGUGGGUUAAGUCCCGCAACGAGCGCAACCCUGUCAUUAGUUGCUACGCGAGAGCACUCUAAUGAGACCGCUACCGACAAGGUGGAGGAAGGUGGGGAUGACGUCAAAUCAUCAUGCCCCUUAUGUCCUGGGCUACACACGUAAUACAAUGGUCAUUAACAGAGGGUCGCAAGACCGCGAGGUGGAGCCAAUCCCUAAAAAUGAUCUCAGUUCGGAUUGCAGGCUGCAACCCGCCUGCAUGAAGCUGGAAUUGCUAGUAAUCGCGGAUCAGCAUGCCGCGGUGAAUACGUUCCCGGGCCUUGUACACACCGCCCGUCACACCAUGGGAGUUUGUAACACCCGAAGUCAGCAGCCUAACCUUUCUGGAGGGCGCUGCCGAAGGUGGGAUAAGCGACUGGGGUGAAGUCGUAACAAGGUAACCGUAU